GCCUCGGUAGCGCAGUAGGCAGCGCGUCAGUCUCAUAAUCUGAAGGUCGUGAGUUCGAUCCUCUCCCGGGGCA
rnacentral:tRNA from 1 species